rnacentral:rRNA from 1 species
AGAGAGAGACAUGCGCGCAUAUCAAUAAGCGGAGGAAAAGAAACUAACUAGGAUUCCCUCAGUAACGGCGAGUGAAGCGGGAAGAGCUCAAAUUUGAAAUCUUCAAGGUUCUACCUUGACGAAUUGUAGUUUAAAGAAGUGUUUUCUGUUGGAGUUUUGGUAAAAGUUCUUUGGAAUAGGACAUCAUAGAGGGUGAGAAUCCCGUAUUUGACCAUUACUUUCCAGCUUUGUGAUACACUUUCAAAGAGUCGGAUUGUUUGGGAAUGCAGUCCAAAAUGGGUGGUAAAUUUCAUCUAAAGCUAAAUACUGGCGAGAGACCGAUAGCGAACAAGUACCGUGAGGGAAAGAUGAAAAGAACUUUGAAAAGAGAGUUAAACAGUACGUGAAAUUGUCAAGAGGGAAGCGUUUGACACCAGGUGUUGUUUUCUCGAAAAUCAAUUAAAGAAGGCAUGAUUUAUGUAAGUUGUAUUAGACUUUAUCAGCUUCUGCACUCUUUUCUUGAGCUUUUUUAAUGCACUUUUCAGUUAACAAGUCAACAUCAAUUUCUUUUGUUGUAAAAAGGGUCAUUGGAAGGUGGCUUGCGAUUUCGUAUAAGUGUUUAUAGCCUCUUGCCUCUGCAGUCGGAGAGAUUGAGGUCUGCAGCGUAGAUCCUUCGGGGUUAGAUACAUUUGUGCUAAGUUAUAGCCUUUCAUAGACAACUUGUUGACUAUGAUCAGUCAUGUAGCUUACUCGCUUAUGCUAUUUUACCUACGCUUAGGAUGUUGAUGUGAUACUGCGAGCA